rnacentral:tRNA from 1 species
GGCGAGGUAGCUCAGUUGGUUAGAGCGUUGGAUUCAUAACCCAGAGGUCAGGGGAUCGUGCCCCCUUCUCGCUACAA